AACGAACGCUGGCGGCAGGCCUAACACAUGCAAGUCGAGCGAGGACUUCGGUUCUAGUGGCGGACGGGUGAGUAACGCGUGGGAAUGUGCCCUUCUCUACGGAAUAGCCCUGGGAAACUGGGAGUAAUACCGUAUACGCCCUAUUGGGGAAAGAUUUAUCGGAGAAGGAUCAGCCCGCGUUGGAUUAGGUAGUUGGUGGGGUAAUGGCCUACCAAGCCGACGAUCCAUAGCUGGUUUGAGAGGAUGAUCAACCACACUGGGACUGAGACACGGCCCAGACUCCUACGGGAGGCAGCAGUGGGGAAUCUUAGACAAUGGGGGCAACCCUGAUCUAGCCAUGCCGCGUGAGUGAUGAAGGCCUUAGGGUUGUAAAGCUCUUUCAGCUGGGAAGAUAAUGACGGUACCAGCAGAAGAAGCCCCGGCUAACUCCGUG
rnacentral:rRNA from 1 species